CAAGUUUUUAAGGGCGCACGGUGGAUGCCUUGGCACCAGGAACCGAUGAAGGACGUGGGAGGCCACGAUAGUCCCCGGGGAGUCGUCAACCAGGCUUUGAUCCGGGGGUUUCCGAAUGGGGAAACCCGGCAGUCGUCAUGGGCUGUCACCCACCGCUGAAUAUAUAGGCGGUGUGGAGGGAACGCGGGGAAGUGAAACAUCUCAGUACCCGCAGGAAGAGAAAACAACCGUGAUUCCGGGAGUAGUGGCGAGCGAAACUGGAUGAGGCCAAACCUCAAGCGUGUGAGACCCGGCAGGGGUUGCGCUUGGGGGGUUGUGGGAUCUCUCUUCCACGGUCUGCCGGCCGUGGGACGAGUCAGAAACCGUUGAUGUAGGCGAAGGACAUGCGAAAGGUCCGGCGUAGAGGGUAAGACCCCCGUAGUCGAAACGUCAGCGGCUCGUUUGAGAGACACCCAAGUAGCACGGGGCCCGAGAAAUCCCGUGUGAAUCUGGCGGGACCACCCGUUAAGCCUAAAUAUUCCCUGGUGACCGAUAGCGGAUAGUACCGUGAGGGAAUGGUGAAAAGUACCGCGGGAGCGGAGUGAAAUAGUACCUGAAACCGUGUGCCUACAAGCCGUGGGAGCGUCGGACAUCAAGCUUGCUUGGUGUCUCGUGACUGCGUGCCUUUUGAAGAAUGAGCCUGCGAGUUUGCGGUGUGUUGCGAGGUUAACCCGUGUGGGGAAGCCGUAGCGAAAGCGAGUCCGAAUAGGGCGGUUUAGUAGCGCGCUCAAGACCCGAAGCGGAGUGAUCUAGCCAUGGGCAGGCUGAAGCGGAGGUAAGACUUCGUGGAGGGCCGAACCCACCAGGGUUGAAAACCUGGGGGAUGACCUGUGGUUAGGGGUGAAAGGCCAAUCAAACUCCGUGAUAGCUGGUUCUCCCCGAAAUGCAUUUAGGUGCAGCGUCGUGUGUUUCUUGCCGGAGGUAGAGCACUGGAUAGGCGAUGGGCCCUACCGGGUUACUGACCUUAGCCAAACUCCGAAUGCCGGUAAGUGAGAGCGCGGCAGUGAGACUGUGGGGGAUAAGCUCCAUGGUCGAGAGGGAAACAGCCCAGAGCAUCGACUAAGGCCCCUAAGCGUACGCUAAGUGGGAAAGGAUGUGGAGUCGCAGAGACAACCAGGAGGUUGGCUUAGAAGCAGCCACCCUUGAAAGAGUGCGUAAUAGCUCACUGGUCUAGUGAUUCCGCGCCGACAAUGUAGCGGGGCUCAAGCGUACCGCCGAAGUCGUGUCAUUGCAGCAUAUACGCCCAACGGCGGCUGUGAUGGGUAGGGGAGCGUCGUGUGCCGGGUGAAGCCGCGCCGGAAGGCAGUGGUGGACGGUUCACGAGUGAGAAUGCAGGCAUGAGUAGCGAUACAUACGUGAGAAACGUGUGCGCCGAUUGACUAAGGGUUCCUGGGUCAAGCUGAUCUGCCCAGGGUAAGUCGGGACCUAAGGCGAGGCCGACAGGCGUAGUCGAUGGAUAACCGGUUGAUAUUCCGGUACCCGCUGUGAAGCGUCAAACAUCGAAUCCAGUGAUGCUAAGGCCGUGAAGCCGCCCUGGAGCCUUCGGGCAAAGGGGAGUGGUGGAGCCGCUGGCCCAAGCUGGUAGUAGGUGAGUGAUGGGGUGACGCAGGAAGGUAGUCCAGCCCGGGCGGUGGUUGUCCCGGGGUAAGGGUGUAGCCCGUCAUCCAGGUAAAUCCGGAUGGCACGUGGGUGAGACCUGAUGCCGAGCCGAUUGUGGUGAAGUGGAUGAUCCUAUGCUGUCGAGAAAAGCCUCUAGCGAGUUUCAUGGCGGCCCGUACCCUAAACCGACUCAGGUGGUCAGGUAGAGAAUACCGAGGCGUUCGGGUGAACUAUGGUUAAGGAACUCGGCAAAAUGCCCCCGUAACUUCGGGAGAAGGGGGGCCACANNNNNNNNNNNNNNNNNNNNNNNNNNNNNNNNNNNNNNNNNNNNNNNNNNNNNNNNNNNNNNNNNNNNNNNNNNNNNNNNNNNNNNNNNNNNNNNNNCAGAGCUGGGGGUGGCCGCAGAGACCAGCGAGAAGCGACUGUUUACUAAAAACACAGGUCCGUGCGAAGCCGUAAGGCGAUGUAUACGGACUGACGCCUGCCCGGUGCUGGAACGUUAAGGGGACCGGUUAGUGCGCUUUCGGGCGUGCGAAGCUGAGAACUUAAGCGCCAGUAAACGGCGGUGGUAACUAUAACCAUCCUAAGGUAGCGAAAUUCCUUGUCGGGUAAGUUCCGACCUGCACGAAUGGCGUAACGACUUCUCGACUGUCUCAACCAUAGGCCCGGUGAAAUUGCACUACGAGUAAAGAUGCUCGUUUCGCGCAGCAGGACGGAAAGACCCCGGGACCUUUACUACAGUUUGAUAUUGGUGUUCGGUUCGGCUUGUGUAGGAUAGGUGGGAGACUGUGAAGCAUGCACGCCAGUGUGUGUGGAGUCGUCGUUGAAAUACCACUCUGGUCGUGCUGGAUGUCUAACCUGGGUCCGUGAUCCGGAUCAGGGACAGUGUCUGAUGGGUAGUUUAACUGGGGCGGUUGCCUCCCAAAGGGUAACGGAGGCGCCCAAAGGUUCCCUCAGCCUGGUUGGUAAUCAGGUGUUGAGUGUAAGUGCACAAGGGAGCUUGACUGUGAGACUGACGGGUCGAGCAGGGACGAAAGUCGGGACUAGUGAUCCGGCGGUGGCUUGUGGAAGCGCCGUCGCUCAACGGAUAAAAGGUACCCCGGGGAUAACAGGCUGAUCUUCCCCAAGAGUCCAUAUCGACGGGAUGGUUUGGCACCUCGAUGUCGGCUCGUCGCAUCCUGGGGCUGGAGUCGGUCCCAAGGGUUGGGCUGUUCGCCCAUUAAAGCGGUACGCGAGCUGGGUUUAGAACGUCGUGAGACAGUUCGGUCCCUAUCCGCUGUGCGCGUAGGAGUCUUGAGAAGGGCUGUCCCUAGUACGAGAGGACCGGGACGGACGAACCUCUGGUGUGCCAGUUGUUCUGCCAAGGGCAUGGCUGGUUGGCUACGUUCGGGAGGGAUAACCGCUGAAAGCAUCUAAGCGGGAAGCCUGCUUCGAGAUGAGGACUCCCACCCACUUGAUGGGGUAAGGCUCCCAGUAGACGACUGGGUUGAUAGGCCAGAUAUGGAAGCCUGGUAACGGGUGGAGUUGACUGGUACUAAUAGGCCGAGGGCUUGUCC
rnacentral:rRNA from 1 species